rnacentral:rRNA from 1 species
UUACCGAGUUUACAACUCCCAAACCCAAUGUGAACCAUACCAAACUGUUGCCUCGGCGGGGUCACGCCCCGGGUGCGUCGCAGCCCCGGAACCAGGCGCCCGCCGGAGGGACCAACCAAACUCUUUUCUGUAGUCCCCUCGCGGACGUUAUUUCUUACAGCUCUGAGCAAAAAUUCAAAAUGAAUCAAAACUUUCAACAACGGAUCUCUUGGUUCUGGCAUCGAUGAAGAACGCAGCGAAAUGCGAUAAGUAAUGUGAAUUGCAGAAUUCAGUGAAUCAUCGAAUCUUUGAACGCACAUUGCGCCCGCCAGUAUUCUGGCGGGCAUGCCUGUCCGAGCGUCAUUUCAACCCUCGAACCCCUCCGGGGGGUCGGCGUUGGGGACCUCGGGAGCCCCUAAGACGGGAUCCCGGCCCCGAAAUACAGUGGCGGUCUCGCCGCAGCCUCUCCUGCGCAGUAGUUUGCACAACUCGCACCGGGAGCGCGGCGCGUCCACGUCCGUAAAACACCCAACUUUCUGAAAUGUUGACCUCGGAUCAGGUAGGAAUACCCGCUGAACUUAAGCAUAUCAAUAA